GGAGGACGCCUUCGACUCCACCGACCGCAGGAGCCGUUCCGAGCAUUAGGCUCGUUUUCCCUUAGUUUAUCGACUGCUUAGUAAUUGUCUGUUAGUUUGUGUGUUUAGGCUUGUUCGCUUGUGGGUCAGUCGACGGUCGACAUCAUGUGCCUAUGAUGUGGCUGUCUUAAUAAGGAUUUGUUUGCUGUUUUAAGUGUUUUAAUUCAGAUCAGAACAAUUGUAGUUUAAAUUCCUAUAUAAUAAAGCUUAGUUCCUGAGCAUCUGUUUUUCUUCUUUUCCAUCCCCUCCGUCUGCUCUCCCUUCAGAUGGUCAACACCAGGAAUGGCAGCCGUGUAGCAGGUGAGGGCAGCAACGGCAAAGAAUGCACCGACGGUGGAUAUCCUAACAGCGCCUCUGGCAACGGUCCGCCACCGCUCCCCGAGAACCUGACUCUUGCACAAGUGAUGGCCCAUCAGACUCAGAUGAUGGCGGCCAUGAUGCAACAGAUGCAGCAGCAGCACCAGCAGAUGCACCAGAGGAUGUAGCAGCAAGCCGAGCAGCAGCAGCAGCAGUUUGGUCCCCCUCCCCCUCAGUCCAAGCUGCCGGAGUUUCUACGCGUCAGGCCACCCACCUUCUCUAGCACCACCAACCCCAUGGAGGCAAAUGACUGGCUCCAUGACAUAGAGAAGAAGCUCAAUCUUCUGCAGUGCAACGAUCAGGAGAAGGUCGCCUUCGCCACACACCAGCUCCAGGGUCCCGCGUCAGCUUGGUGGGACAACCACAUGGCUACCCGCCCGCCAGGCACAGAAGUUACUUGGGCAGAGUUCUGUCGCAGCUUCCGGAAGGCGCAAGUGCCAGACGGGGUCGUGGCACAAAAGAAGAGAGAAUUCCGGGCACUCCAUCAGGGCAACAGGACAGUAACAGAGUAUCUGCAUGAGUUCAAUCGCCUAGCGUGAUAUGCACCGGAGGAUGUCCGCACUGACGCAGAAAAGCAGGAGAAGUUCCUAGCAGGCCUGGAUGACGAGCUGACCAACCAGUUGAUCUCCGGGGAUUACGCUGACUUCGAGAAGCUGUUAGAUAAGGCAAUCCGUCAGGAGGAUCAGCGCAACAAAAUGGACAGGAAGAGAAAGGUAGCGCAGUUCCGGUUCAACCAAGGAAGUCACCAGCGACCACGCUUCACUCCCGGGCAGCAGGGUAGACCUACCACCAUGAUUGUCCGCCAGCAUCGCCCUUUCAACUCAAGCAGCUUCCACCAGGGCGCCAGUGGCAGCCAGAACCACCCGGGAGGUCAGCCCAACCGCAGUGCAUCUCCGCGCCCACCAAUGGCCACAGCACAGGCAGCUCCAUCAGUCCAAGCCAAGAAGGAGACUGGAGCAAAGCCAGGGUCCUGCUUCAACUGUGGCGAGCAUGGCCACUUUGCUGACAAGUGCCCGAAGCCAAGGCGUGCCGAGCCAAGGUUUGCCCAAGCUCGUAUCAACCACGCAUCCGUAGAAGAGGCGCAAGCAGCACCAGAGGUCGUACUGGGUACGUUUCCUGUCAACUCAAUUUCUGCAAAAGUACUUUUAGAUUCUGGUGCGACGCAUUCAUUCAUUUCAAAGAAGUUUGUUGGGGUACAUGGGUUAAUAAGAGAAGAACUUAGUACACCAAUGCAGGUUCAUACCCCCGGGAAUAGCUCCACCUCGGUUCAAUUCAGCCCUUCUGUAACAAUAGAAAUCCAAAGAUCACCAUUUCUAGCCAACCUCAUCCUUCUCGAAUCCAAAGAUCUAGAUGUCAUUCUUGGGAUGGAUUGGCUGACCAAGUUCAAGGGUGUCAUUGAUUGUGCGAAUCGCACGGUCACCUUGACCAAUGAGAAAGGGGAAACAGUGGUGUACAAGUCACCAGUCGCACUGAAGCAGGGAAUCUCCUUAAAUCAGAUUGAGGUGGAAAAUCCGGUGGUCACUGAGGAGAAGAGUUCGAGGAAAUUGGAAGAUAUCCCCAUAGUCUGCGAGUAUCUAGAGGUGUUCCUUAAGGACCUCACUACCAUGCCACCCAAGAGAGAGAUUGAAUUCCGGAUUGAUUUGGCACCGGGGACUGCUCCAAUUUACAAGAGACCGUACAGAAUGGCAGCCAACGAGCUAGCAGAGGUCAAGAAGCAGGUUGAUGAGCAACUGCAGAAAGGGUACAUUUGACCAAGUACUUCACCUUGGGGUGCUCCGGUCAUUUUUGUGGAGAAGAAGGACAAGACGAAGAGAAUGUGCGUCGAUUAUCGCGCACUCAAUGAGGUCACCAUCAAGAACAAAUACCCUUUGCCGCAGAUUGAUGAUCUGUUUGAUCAGCUGAAAGGAGCCAGGGUGUUUUCCAAAAUAGACCUGUGAUCAGGCUACCAUCAGUUGAUGAUUCGGGAAGAGGAUAUUCUCAAGACAGCCUUCACCACUCGGUAUGGGUUGUAUGAGUGCACGGUUAUGUCUUUUGGACUUACCAAUACACCUGCAUUCUUCAUGAACCUGAUGAACAAAGUGUUCAUGGAAUUUUAAUGCACAUUAUGCUUGGAAUUCUAUUCGGGAAUUUCUGGGCGUGACAGCGGCGUAGGUCGUCGCUGGAGAGAGGAGCGAGAGCUGCAGCUUGCCGAUGAUCUCCAGCCAGCACACAUCCAAGAGCUCUGCCACCUCAGGGAACCUGAUGACGACGACGACUCCGGCGAUGGGUCCCGCCGACGGCUGCACAUGGCGGACUCCCCGGCGGCGAGCUCCAUGAUGCCAUCCGCUGAGUGGUGUGUGGCAACUGAGUUUGGGACACGGGGCAAUCUAGGCAUUUUGAAAAAAUACUCGCCACUUUCAGCUGGAAAAUGAUAAAAUAAUGAGCUCAGUGUCCUACGGCAAAUUUCACAAAUUUUGUAGUGUCCUGGGGCAGUUCCACGUUUUCUCGGUGUCCCUAAGCUAGUUACGCGUUUUUUUGGUAUCCUAUAGCACAUUUUGCCUUUUUAAUUUUAAGUUGUAGUGAAUUACUAUUCAUAUUUUCCCGGAUAUUGUUGUUGAUACAAUAUAAUUACUAUUGAAUACUCAGCGGUGAUUAUUUUAUAAGGAUGAUUCUGAAGAUAUUUUUUCAGUCUCAUAUCUUUAUUAAUUGGUACCACACAUUUUAUUGGAUGUGCAAAAUGAGAAAGCUCAUUAGCACAUGAUUAAUUAUUAUUUUUAUAUUACACGACAGACGUACACGCGCAUGCACACACCAUCUAUUGAAAGUCCACCUAUAUGUGCAUAAUAUUUGUGGGCACAUGGACUUUGAAUCCCGGUCACCAACACACCACUAGUGCUUCCCCGAUUAAUUACGUACUCCCCGAUUAAUUACGUACUCCCUCUGUUACAAAAUAUAAGGAUUUUUAUAAUAGUGCCAAGUCAAAUAUUUUUAACUUUGACUAUUAAUAGUAAAAAAUAAAAAAAAUAUCAAUCAUGUAAAAUUGAUCUUACUAGAUUUAUGAUUAAACAAACUAUCAUAACAUGCAACUAUUUUUAUUUAAAACAUUUUACUUUUAUAGAUAUUAUUGGUUAAAGUAGCAUCUCGAAGAUCGUGUCGAAGUGAAAAAUACUUAUAUUCUGGGACGAGGGAGUAUUAAAUAUUAUAAAUUUUAAAAAUGGAUUCAUUCGUUUUUUUUAAAAAAAUUUUAUAUAGAAAUUAUUUUAAAAAAACUUUAAAAAAACGUGCUACCGUAAAACGAGAAACUUAAACUUUAGAGUUGAAUAAAGUCUCGAGUCAAAAAAAGAGAGAAGGAAAAGAGAAGUUGUAACGUCGUGGAUCGAUCGAUCGAAACCGUGUGCUACAACAGCCCGCAGGCAAGCGAAGGCCCACAGGCCCACCUUGAGAACCAGAACCAGAAGAAGAACCCGUCCACUUCCAUUCCACGCACGCGCACUUCACGUGACGAGACCAUCGCCACCCCCCUCCGCCAUCCUUCCCACCGCCGCCGCCAACGCCGACGCCGCCCGACGACCGAGCCAACGCGACCAGCCAGCCGCCCAUGCCUGCGCGCGCGGCGGCGCUCUCCUGCCGCGGAGUCUCCCCGCACCCCCGCGCCCACUCCCUCCUCCCUGGCCGCCGCCGCCGCCCCGUCCUCCCCUUCGCCGGUAAGCCUCAUCCUCGAGGUUCCUCUCUUCUCACUCGCGCCCCGCCUGCCGCAAGGCUAGCCCUAGCGCUCUGUGAGGAUUGAUUCGUCAUACCGUAUCGUCGUGGGGGGAACAGAUGAGGCGGCGGCGGCGCCCCUACGUGUCAGCUCCGUGCCCCAUUCUCGGGCUUACGGCUGCGGCGGCGGCGGUUACUUCGUGCAUCUCGAAGACCGCGAUGACGGAGAGGCGUCUCGGUUGCUGCGUGCCCUUCGGCGAGUCCUUCCCGAUCACCAGGUAAGGCCAUUUAGGCUUCGAUUUUGGAUUGCUGCGAAAACAAGCCAGACUGGGUCAACAAUCCAAUCCAACCGUGGAAUCGGUUUGAGAUUUAGCAUGACGCGUGAAUUGAGCCUUUCAUUUGUGAGGUGACAUGACAUGAUAAUUGACAACCCCGUUGAUGCCGUACACGCAGUGAGAUAAAGCCUGUAAUUGGAAGGCAUUUGUAACCUGAUUGUUGCUCGGCGGAUUACAUUAUCCUUUUGCCACAUAAAGGCCUGAUAAUAGUUUGUAGAUUGUGAUUAGAGCAGGAUAAAUAUUACUUUUCGUGUGUACGACUUUAGGUCCGAUAAGCUUAUUACAAUGUUAUCUUUGGGGGCGGGUUACCACUUACCAGUGACCAAAAACUUUGUGGGAGAUCAAUCAUAUUAUUGUUUUGUUCAUAAUGUAUAUCCUUCACAUAUGAGAAUGCUUCUUUCUUUCCCCUUCUACUACGUUCUGCAACUUUUUGCUCUUUAUUUUUGACCUGUUUGUGAAAAUUGUUGCUGCAGAAAUGGGCACAACCUGACCUUCUGAAAGCUGCUGUUAUUUCAACCAUGUCAAUACUUGCUGUGCCUCUUGAGGCAUCGGCAUCGGCGGAGACAUGUCAGCCAGCUAAUUCUAUGGCCAAUAUGCCCAUUUUUAUUGCUGUGGCUCUAAUAGGUGCUGCUGUUGGUGGUAAGAUAUGCAAACCUGUGUACUUGCAAGCUCAACUGGAUUUAUAUAAUUUUGAUGAAGCGAACCACAUUUUAUUUUGCUUUCCCUAUGUGAUUUGCAGGAUUACUAGCACGGCAAAGAAAGGAGGAAUUAAAGCGACUGAACACUCAACUUCGCCAAAUUAACACGGCACUUAGAAGACAGGCGCAGAUUGAGUCAUUUGCUCCUGGCCUUACUUACGCGCCAGUUGGCAGAGCAACAGAAACUGAAGUUAUUGUAGAUCCCAGGAAGCAACAACUGACAGUAAAUUUGAGAAACGGGAAGACAUUUAUGAGGAAUCAAGAUCUUGAUAUGGCAGUAAAGGAAUUCAGGGCAGCUCUGGAGCUCGCAAAGAGCGUAGGAGAUCGCUUUGAGGAGAAGAAAGCUGCUCGUGGAUUAGGUUCGUUUCUUUCUAAUAAUAACCAUCAUAUAGUUAUUUCUUCACUGUCAUAAUAGAAAGUACAUAAUGUGAUGUUUUACCGUACUGUUCGAAAAAUUAGCUACAAACAAGAAAGACAGGUAGGCUCUGGGUCUUAUAGUUAGGCUAUAUAAUCACUAAAAAGUGUUUAUCGAAUUGAAUUGUGUUAUUGGUGUCGUAUCAACCAUUAAGCACCAAGCCUUUGGUUUAUGGUGCUACUUUCCACUUCUGUGAAACUCAAUUAUAGCGAACACAGUUCAAAAGGUUCAUCGAGUUUCAAGCUUAAGAAGCAAUCACUGUCAGAUAGAAAGCAAUUAUAUUAUUUGAGUUUUCAACUGUGAUUUGAGUUUUUCCUUUUGUUUUGCAUUAGGUGCAUCGCUACAAAGAUUGGGCAAAUACAGAGAAGCAAUGAACUGCUACUAUAAAGUCCUGGAGCUUUCCAAGGAAACGGGCGAGGAUUCCGGGUGCACCGAGGCCUACGGCGCCAUAGCUGACUGCUACACGGAGCUUGGGGAUCUAGAGCGAGCGGCGAAGUUGUAUGACAAGUACAUAUCAAGGUUGCAGCCCGGCGGUGGUGAGUAAACGCUUGGGCUUUCCUGACCCAAACGAUUUGGUUUCUUCCUGUUGCAUGGUUGAUGUUCAGCAAAACAGUCAAUUUGUUGGCCUCAUUUUAGCUUUGUGGGAGCGCUUGAAUCGCUCAAGGAAAAAAAGCUCAACUCUUGUAUAUAAAUGUCAGUGGUGCGUGCUACUUGAGAUAACAAUGGCAAAGCUUGGUCUGGUUUGCUGCCUGUUGCAAGCGGCAAGCACUGCGUACACACACGGUGCACGCAUCUACUGAUCUUCCUAAAAUAACUCUGCCAAAGUUCAAAUAUCUUAAAAAUAUAUAUAUCUACCGAUCUGCUACACUAUAUAGUUACUUUGCAGUCCUGAAGAGACGAAUAGAAGAUCAUCUUCAUCGUCGAUCGUCAUAUCCUGACACAUGAUACGGCAGAAAGUCUUGGCAUAGCUGACUGGUCGAUCAACGUUAUCUCCAGCCAUCUUUAAUGGACCGAUCAAGGCCAUCCUGUGCUGUCCUGCUGUCCUCUUGAUGUUUUCCGCAUCUCCUCUCCCUCGUAAAAUUUCAUAUACAUCGUCCCAGGGGCAUCUGACAAGCAAUGGCUAGUAUUAUACGCGGAUUUUCAAAAAAUUUAUAUAAUCUUAUCCUAACACCAAAUAUUUAUGACCAACGCCAAAUACUUAUGACCAAAAGGAAGGAAACCAAUAUACCAGCAGUCUUUCGUGAAGGUGGAAAAACCCUCAGGAAAAUACAUUUCCCUGUUAGGAGUUACUAUUUUCUUUUGACUUACUAUCCAGGCUCAUCAAGGUAAUUUUGCUAGGAAAGUAAGUUUGUCUACCAACGCAAAAAUAAUUCUUGAUUUCGUGUAAGUGACCAAAUAGGCGUGCGAACAUGUGGUGAAGGCACAUGUCACUGAUACGUGGGAUCAUGUUAGAAAUUCAUGUCCCCUUUACAUAUGUUAGAUAAGUCUAGUUGCACUGGAUAAUGGUGGGGUGUGUACCACACAACACGCACUACAGUAGUGCAAUGUGCUCAACCUCUUUUUGAACUGCCCAGGGGCGGAGCUAGAACAAAAUGGAGGGUGCCACUUACUUAAUUUACUUUACUUUAGAUCGAGUUUAAGCUAAUACGGGUGCCUAAAUUAUAUUGAGGGUGGUGCACACAUAGUGAAAAUAGGUGAGGUAUAACUAAACAGUUUUCUUGACCGGGUUCCUGGGCACCCCCUAAUAUACUCUAUCUCCGCCCCUGGAACUGCCCCAUCUAGAGGGCUCCCAUGACCAGGAUCGAUGAUUUUUGCUCUAUUAGGAGCCAUAUAAAAUCUAAUUGUUGUACUCGUGGGUCUACUAGUGAGCAGUAAUCCUUAUCCAUUGGGUAGGUGGUAUAAAUCUGUUUUUUAAUUCGCCACCUGUACCAGUAAUCCAUGGGUAAAAAAACCCGUGUGCCUAGCAUGAUGUGUACUUCCUUUUGAACGGUAAUAUAUGGUUUAGUUCUCGUAUGAUUUGUUUACCUAUCAUAUAUGGUCUGGUUCUUGCACGAUUUGUUUACAUGGUUUUGAAUGUUAACCAAGGUUAUAUCUAUCAUGAUGUCUUGCGUUGUAAUCGUCUGAUUGUUGUGCAAAAUUAUUAGUGCUAUCAGUUAGUUUAGUGGGUAUGAAAAGAAAUCUUACACCCGCGAACGGAUGUGGGUGUUGGAGCGAGAAUUUUUAGUCAUCACGAAUGUGAGUAGAGGAUGAGAAAACCCGAUGGGUAUGUACCCAUUGCUAUCUCUGCCCCCAUCCAAGUCGCCCAACACGCACCGCUGUACCAGUUUCACCUGGGGCACUACGAACAAUCGAACAUACGCGGGGUGAACUGAAUGGAUAGACGAUCGAGUAGAUGACACGUACGGCUGCAGAAAUGCUUACAGCUGUAUCAUCUGCACGUACGCAUCGCUUGGACGGGAUAAUGGGUUCAGACUUGAGAGAGAUCAGGAUGAGAGCAACCAAAAAGUCGAAAAAAUUGCAAGAGGCAGAGUUGUCCAUGCCCCUGUUCUUAUGAGUCACAGCGAUUCAGUUCAGAGAGUAUGUAGCAGCAUGUAAGCAUGAUCCUGGUAGUGCGUGGUAGGUGCUGAAUUCUCUGAAUUCUGAACCACUUCGCUGCUUCACCGAUGGAACUAUUUCUUUUGUCCUUCAUACAGAGGGUGUGUUUAGUUGGGAAAAAUAAAAUUUUUUGGUUUUCACAUCGAACGUUUGACCGGAUAUCAGAAGGGGUAUUCAGACACGAAUGAAAAAAAUAAUUUCAGAACUCACCUGGAAACCGUGAGACGAAUCUUUUAAGACUAAUUAAGCUGUCAUUAGCACAUGUGGGUUACUGUAGCACUUAUGACUAAUCACGAACUAAUUAGGCUUAAAAGAUUCGUCUCGCGAUUUCCUCCAUAACUGUGCAAUUAGUUUUUCUUUUUAUCUAUAUUUAAUGUUUCAUGCAUAUGUCUAAAGAUUAGAUGUGAUGUUUUUGGGAAAAAUUUUUGGGGAAUUGAACGGGCCCAGAAGUUAGUAGAUCUUACUAUCUUAGAUCAUUCGUCUCAUCUGCCCAUUGCGCCGUAACGUACGUGUCGUCUUCUAGCUGCAGCCAGUUUCAUGCUUAUCACCGCCUAUGACUCAGCUUUUCAGCACUAUAAAUAUGACUCUAACCUCAUACGUCACAGAUCAGAGCACUAGCUAGCUAGCUAGCUUUUGCUCCUACAUCUUCACUUCAGUACCACACCGGCUUAGCAAAAGCCAGCUGCAAGCUAGUAGGAUCGAUCGACCACCAUGGCGUCGUCGUCCAAGGCCCUGCUCUUGCUCGCUGUCCUCCUCGCAUCCGCCGUCCUCCUCGCCGCCGCCGCCGACCAACCUCGUGAGCGCACACACACAUGCAUAUAUAUCUUUCUUCACCUCCGAUCGAUCGGUUUAUUGCUUAAUUUAUGAAUUUGUUGCAGAUGGCAAGGAGCAGAAGAAGACGGAGAGCGGCGGCGGCGCGGGCGUCCAGGACUGGCACGACGACCACGGUGGGGGCGGCCAUCACGGAGGUGGCGGCGGCGGCUACCCCGGUGGGCAGUGCCAUCACGGAUGCUGCGGCGGCUACGGAUACCACGGCGGCUGCCGCCGUUGCUGCGCGACCGCCGACGAGAAGCCGGACCCCAUGUACCGCCCCGAGGCGCACAACUAAUUAAGUCUCAGACGAUCGUCCGACGUACGUACGUACGGCCGGCGCCGGAGCUCGCUAGCAACGUACGCAGCAACUAAACCAAGUGAAUACUGAAUAAUGAAAAUGUGUAUGCCAGCACGUAUAUAUGUGUACAUAUAAAAGUCUGUGCACGUAUAUGUAUAUAUGGACCACGUACGUACGUAUGUAUCUGCGUGCAUACGGCGGCGGGGUUUGUGCCGAUAUAUGUUACU
rnacentral:lncRNA from 1 species